rnacentral:rRNA from 1 species
AUGCAAGUCGAACGAAGUAGCAAUACUUAGUGGCAGACGGGUGAGUAACAUGUAGGUAUCUACCCUAUGGCCUGGAAUAACACGAGGAAACUUGUGCUAAUACUGGAUAAGUCUUUACGGAGAAAGCUUUAUGCACCAUUGGAUGAGCCUGCACUUGAUUAGUUUGUUGGUAGGGUAAUGGCCUACCAAGACUGUGAUCAAUAGCUGAUUUGAGAGGAUGAUCAGCCACAUUGGGACUGAGACACGGCCCAAACUCCUACGGGAGGCAGCAGUGGGGAAUCUUGCACAAUGGAGGAAACUCUGAUGCAGCGAUGCCGCGUGAGUGAAGAAGGCCCUUGGGUUGUAAAGCUCUUUCGUCGGGGAAGAAAAUGACUGUACCCGAAUAAGAAGGUCCGGCUAACUUCGUGCCAGCAGCCGCGGUAAUACGAAGGGACCUAGCGUAGUUCGGAAUUACUGGGCUUAAAGAGUUCGUAGGUGGUUGAAGAAGUUGGUGGUGAAAUCCCAGAGCUUAACUCUGGAACUGCCAUCAAAACUUUUCAGCUAGAGUAUGAUAGAGGAAAGCAGAAUUUCUAGUGUAGAGGUGAAAUUCGUAGAUAUUAGAAAGAAUACCAAUUGCGAAGGCAGCUUUCUGGAUCAUUACUGACACUGAGGAACGAAAGCAUGGGUAGCGAAGAGGAUUAGAUACCCUCGUAGUCCAUGCCGUAAACGAUGUGUGUUAGACGUUGGAAAUUUAUUUUCAGUGUCGCAGUGAAAACGAUAAACACACCGCCUGGGGAGUACGACCGCAAGGUUAAAACUCAAAUGAAUUGACGGGGACCCGCACAAGUAGUGGAGCACGUGGUUUAAUUCGAAGAUACGCGCAGAACCUUACCAACACUUGACAUGUUCGUCGCGACUUUAAGAGAUUAAAGUUUU